CCCAAUAUAAAUUAUUUCAUUACUCCAUUAAAAGGGUCUAGAAGCCAAUCAGCCAAUCCGGUAAAUAUGGAAAAACGAGAUACAAUCAAACGAGGUAAAAAAAGACUUUGCUUGGCCAUUUUAUUGGCAACUUGAUUUGCUUGACAAGGACUAAACAAAAGGGAAAUUGGGUGGAACUCUUUCUUACAAAGUCGAGAGUUCUUGGGCAUCUAUUUUCAAGAAGGCCCGACUAUUCUCUAUGUUAAGCCCAAGAAUACAUCCUUACAAGUUACAACCAUAAGUAAAUUCCACUCUUGAAAAGCCAAUUGUAAUAGUGAUGAGGCAGCCCAACUGAAAACCUCAACCUCAACGAGAAGGGUUAAACAAAUUUUUUUGCUACGAAUGUUAAUAUUCAUUAAAAUGAAAGUUGAGGGUGUUACAAGAAGUUAGACCUGAAAGUUGGGCAAAUGUUUCGUUUCCCCUUUUGCCAUCUCUCGCAAGUGAGCCCAUUGCUGCAUUGAUCUCCAUCUCUUCUUCAGCGAAAUCCAUAUACAUUAACAUUUUUUUUUUUGACACGAGGAAUUGUUUUUUACGUUUUGAAAUGGCAUCUUUC
rnacentral:lncRNA from 1 species